rnacentral:lncRNA from 1 species
UAUGACAACUCAAAUAAACAAUUUAUCACCAUCAUCAUCACAAUCAUCAAAAUUGAGGACUGGCCACGUAUAGUAGUCAAUUUAUUUGUGGCAGGGGAAAAAAAGGGAAACCAUAUCUAUCAUCUAUCUAUCAUCUAUCUAUCUAUCAUCUAUCUAUCUAUCUAUCUAUCUAUCUAUCUAUCUAUCUAUCUAUCAUCUAUAUCAAUCAUCUAUCUAUCUAUCUAUCUAUCUAUCAUCUAUCAUCUAUCAUCUAUCAUCUAUCAUCUAUCUAUCUAUCUAUCUAUCUAUCAUCUAUCAUCUAUCAUCAUCUAUCAUCUAUCAUCUAUCAUCUAUCAUCUAUCAAUCUAUCUAUCUAUCAUCUAUCAUCUAUCUAUCUAUCUAUCUAUCAUCUAUCAUCUAUCAUCUAUCAUCUAUCAUCUAUCAUCUAUCAUCUAUCAUCUAUCAUCUAUCAUCUAUCUAUCUAUCUAUCUAUCAUCUAUCUAUCUAUCAUCUAUCAUCUAUCAUCUAUCAUCUAUCUAUCUAUCUAUCUAUCUAUCAUCUAUCAUCUAUCAUCUAUCAUCUAUCAUCUAUCAUCUAUCUAUCUAUCUAUCAUCUAUCAUCUAUCAUCUAUCAUCUAUCAUCUAUCUAUCUAUCUAUCAUCUAUCAUCUAUCAUCUAUCAUCUAUCAUCUAUCUAUCAAUCUAUCUAUCUAUCAUCUAUCAUCUAUCAUCUAUCAUCUAUCAUCUAUCAUCUAUCAUCUAUCAUCUAUCAUAUCUAUCUAUCUAUCUAUCUAUCUAUCUAUCUAUCCUAUCUUCAUCUAUCAUCUAUCUAUCUAUUAUCAUCUAUCAUCUUCAUCUAUCAUCUAUCAUCUAUCUUUGAAGAGCAGGAGGAAGUAAAAGAAGCGACUUGGGAAGAAAGGGAACAUGACCUUUUCCAAUUCUGCAUUAUGAGGUUCAGAGUGAUGCAUAAGUUGCUUGCUCUGCCCCAAAUCGCAUCGCUGACAUUCCCAGCUAAUCAGCCCCAUCUGUAA